rnacentral:rRNA from 1 species
GACGAACGCUGGCGGCGUGCUUAACACAUGCAAGUCGAGCGGUAAGGCCCUUUCGGGGGUACACGAGCGGCGAACGGGUGAGUAACACGUGGGUGACCUGCCCUCAGCUCUGGGAUAAGCCCGGGAAACUGGGUCUAAUACCGGAUAUGACUCCAUGACGCAUGUUGUGGGGUGGAAAGCCUUGUGCGGCUGAGGAUGGGCCCGCGGCCUAUCAGCUUGUUGGUGGGGUGAUGGCCUACCAAGGCGACGACGGGUAGCCGGCCUGAGAGGGCGACCGGCCACACUGGGACUGAGAUACGGCCCAGACUCCUACGGGAGGCAGCAGUGGGGAAUCUUGCGCAAUGGGCGAAAGCCUGACGCAGCGACGCCGCGUGAGGGAUGACGGCCUGUGU